rnacentral:rRNA from 1 species
GACGAACGCUGGCGGCGUGCUUAACACAUGCAAGUCGAACGGAAAGGCCCCUUUGGGGGUACUCGAUUGGCGAACGGGCGGGUAACAAGUGAGUAACCUGCCCUUGCCUUCGGGUUAACUUCAGGAAACUGGGGCUAAUACCGGAUAGGAAUCCUUGCUGCAUGGUGGGGGUUGGAAAGCUUCGGCGGUUUGGGGUGGAUUCGCGGCUUAUUAGCUUGGUUGUGGGGGAGUGGGUUACCAACGCAUUCACGGGUAGCCCGCCUGAGAGGGCUACCGGCCACAUUGGGGCGUAGAUACGGCCCAGACUCCUACGGGGGGCAGGAGUGGGGAAUAUUGCACAAAGGGCGGAAACCUGAUGCAGCAAAGCCGCGGGCGGGAGGACGGGCUUCGGGUUGGAAACCGCUUUCAGCAGGGGCGAAGCUUGUGGUGACGGUACCGGCAGAAGAAGCACCGGCUAACUACGUG